GAGAUUUGUUCCUGCCCCACCCUAACUGAUACGAUAUAUUCUCCCCCGCCCUUAAGAAGACUCAGCCCGCCUGCACCCAGGUGAAAUAUACAGCCUUGUUGCUCACACAAAGCCUGUUUGGUGGUUUCUUCACACGGAUGCAUGUGACAUUUGGUGCUGAAGACCCAGGACAGGAGGACUCCUUUGGGAGACCAGUGCCCUGUUGUCGCCCUCACUCCGUGAGGAGAUCCACCUAUGAUCUCAGGUCCUCAGACCAACCAGCCCAAGGAACAUCUUGCCAAUUUCAAAUCGGGCGCUGAACAACUCCCCUUGACCCUUGGGCCUGCAUCUGACUCCCGGCUGCAGAAUCAGAAGCUGAGUCCAGGCAACCGCUCGGCCACUCCCGGUCACUCCUCUCUGGACACCCAGUUACUAAAGUCAGCAAAGAAGAUGCGGUAAUCACCGCCUGAUCUCCACAUGGUGAACACAACACUCUCACUAACACCUCCUUGACCAGUCAGUCUUCAGCACUGGGGGUGGACAGGCAGGUUUUCUGUGUUUACCAGAAUCGCACAGGCUAAGCACAAACAUGGAACCAGAGUUCCAGGUGAGGAAACCUCACUCGCAGAAGCCCAGGCUGCACCCCACCAGGUGAUGCAGUGCGCCUAGGCUGUGGGUGCUAGGAGCCAAGUGCUAGGGACUCGUCAUGAGUGGGAAUCCCCACGUUCCUGUCACUGCUGUCAAACAGAAGGUAAACAGUCUUACGAAUGUAAUUCCUUAGGAAGACUUGUACAAACUUUUAUUAGGAUAUCUAUUUAUUUAAUACUGAACUUUGGCCUACUUUGUGAUAAGACUAUAAACAAAUUGAGGAAAUCACUAUUUCUCACUUCUGUAUUUCUCAAAAAAUAAUUUUGUUACAGAGUUCAAUAUACUGUGUACUACUGAUCUUCUAUUGUGAAAGCAAAGCAUUUCAUCAAAACAAAGUAUUUUAAAUUAUGAGUGAAAA
rnacentral:lncRNA from 1 species